UACAGAGGGGGCAAGCGUUAUUCGGAAUUAUUGGGCGUAAAGGGCGCGUAGGCGGCCUGGCAAGUGGAAGGUGAAAUCCCUCGGCUUAACCGAGGAACUGCCCUCCAAACUGCUUGGCUUGAGUCCGGGAGAGGUGAGUGGAAUUCCCAGUGUAGCGGUGAAAUGCGUAGAUAUUGGGAGGAACACCAGUGGCGAAGGCGGCUCACUGGACCGGAACUGACGCUGAGGCACGAAAGCGUGGGGAGCAAACAGG
rnacentral:rRNA from 1 species